ACGAAGGUGGCAAGCGUUGUUCGGAUUUACUGGGCGUACAGGGAGCGUAGGCGGUUGGGUAAGCCCUCCGUGAAAUCUCCGGGCCUAACCCGGAAAGUGCGGAGGGGACUGCUCGGCUAGAGGAUGGGAGAGGAGCGCGGAAUUCCCGGUGUAGCGGUGAAAUGCGUAGAGAUCGGGAGGGAGGCCGGUGGCGAAGGCGGUCUGCUGGGCCGUUGCUGACGCUGAGGUGCGACAGCGUGGGGAGCAAACAGGA
rnacentral:rRNA from 1 species